rnacentral:rRNA from 1 species
GGCGAUCAGAUACCGCCCUAGUUCUGACCGUAAACGAUGCCAACUAGCGAUCCGCCGGUGGAUUUUUAGCCAUGGUGGGUAGCUUCCCGGAAACGAAAGUCUUCCGGUUCCGGGGGAAGUAUGGUUGCAAAGCUGAAACUUAAAGGAAUUGACGGAAGGGCACCACCAGGAGUGGAGCCUGCGGCUUAAUUUGACUCAACACGGGGAAACUCACCCGGCCCGGACACCGUAAGGAUUGACAGAUUGAUAGCUCUUUCAUGAUUCGGUGGUUGGUGGUGCAUGGCCGUUCUUAGUUCGUGGAUCGAUUUGUCUGGUUUAUUCCGAUAACGAGCGAGACUCUAGCCUACUAAAUAGUAACAGGAUUAUCUUCACGAUUGUCUUUUCGGUUGCUUCUUAGAGGGAUUUUCGGUGUUUAGCCGCACGAGAUUGAGCAAUAACAGGUCUGUGAUGCCCUUAGAUGUCCGGGGCUGCACGCGCGCUACACUGGCGAAAUCAGCGUGCUGUAUCCAUUCUCGAAAGGGAUUGGUAAACCCAUGAAAAUUUGCCGUGCUUGGGAUCGGAAAUUGCAAUUAUUUUCCGUGAACGAGGAAUUCCAAGUAAGUGCGAGUCAUCAACUCGCUCUGAUUACGUCCCUGCCCUUUGUA